AUGAACGCUGGCGGCGUGCCUAAUACAUGCAAGUCGAGCGCACGGACGAGAAGCUUGCUUCUCUGAUGUUAGCGGCGGACGGGUGAGUAACACGUGGAUAACCUACCUAUAAGACUGGGAUAACUUCGGGAAACCGUAGCUAAUACCGGAUAAUAUUUUGAACCGCAUGGUUCAAAAGUGAAAGACGGUCUUGCUGUCACUUAUAGAUGGAUCCGCGCUGCAUUAGCUAGUUGGUAAGGUAACGGCUUACCAAGGCAACGAUGCAUAGCCGACCUGAGAGGGGGAUGGGCCACACUGGAACUGAGACGCGGUCCAGACUCCUACGGAAGGCAGCAGCAGGGAAUCUUCGGCAAUGGGCGAAAGCCUGACGGAGCAACGCCGGGUGGGUGAUGAAGGGCUGCGGAUCGUAAAACGCUGUUAUUAGGGAAGAACAUAUGUGUAAGUAACUGUGCACAUCUUGACGGUACCGAAUCAGAAAGCCACGGCUAACUACGG
rnacentral:rRNA from 1 species